ensembl:lncRNA
CCUGUGGUGCCAGCAACAAGCACUGUUUGAACUAUGAUUUCUGCAUGGGCCCUGCCUGUCCUUGCAAGAAUUUUGGGUGGAUCAGGACCUUGGGUGCUAACAGCUUUGUGACAAGUGAUAGGACAUGAAGUAACAGCAUCAAAGCGCACCAUGAGAAGUUUAGAUUGGCUAUUGGGAAGAAUUUCUUCAAGGAAAGGAUGGUUAAGUGUUGGAAUGGUCUACCUAGUGAAGACGUCGUCCCUGAAGAGAGGAGAAAAGUCUGGAUGCCUGGAGUCACAGUGAUGCGGAAGAGCUGGAUGGAAUCUCACUGGAAGAGCAUCCUGAAGUUAUGAAAAAGCAAAUCUAUACCUUUAAGAACAUUUCUAUAAAUCAGGUUCUCCAAAAAAGGAAAUUGCUAUUGCAGAAAUUUUCAUUGGCAUUUAUAAGUAAUGUGCAGGUGUCUAAAGCACAUCUUCAUUUAGUAUUUGCCACUAUAUUCUUUUCAUCUAUUUUUCCCUACCAUCCGAAGUGCCAAGUCCUAUUUCACUUUCCCUUUGCCUAUAAGCAAGCAGUUAAUCCAAAAGAGGCACUAAAACUACAGAGAAAUAGGAACAGUGUAUAGCUAGUUCCUGGGCUAGCUAAGGGAGCUGAAGGGACCAGAGAACAGGAAAACUGGAGACAAUCUUCUGCAUCCUCCUACCACAUCCUUCAAUGUUUGUUCCAUCAUCUGUUCAGAGAAAGUGAUGUAAGGUAAGGAGUCUUCAUCCACUAUGACCACUGCUCCCAGGAAGUAACAGGGGUGAGCAGACAUCUCUCUGUGCUUCUGUAAGCACUGAAGCUUGGGUGGAAAAAAAAAAAAAGUGCAUAAACUUCUAAAAACUCCAAUAACUAUUGAGCCUCUCUGCUAAAAGACACAAGAGAAGAGACCCACAAGUGGGUUGACUUCUAUGUGGACUUGCAUGUGGUUUCCACUAUGUAAGUGGAAAUAAUCAGUGAUCACUCAGAAUGAAAUUAUUCCUUCUGACAGAACCAUGGCCAUCCCAGCUACAACCCUGUUAAUGCUGAAUAUUUUCUGCCCUUCCCAGACCUUUUUCCUUAGGGACUGGAAUAUUCAGUGUAAAAACUACCAAAGUCUGAAGGCAGAAAGCUUCCAUAUAGAAGCUUUAGGUUCUUGAUGUUUGAGCCAAGGAGCUGAUGUUAUAUCUGGAGGAGUAACAGCAAACAGACUUUGGGAAAAUUUCUUUCUCCUUAUCAUAGAAUCAUAGAAUGGCCUGGGUUGAAAAGGACCUCAGAGAUCAUUUAAUUUCAACCCUCCUGCCAUGUGCAGAGUCCCCACCCCCUAGACCAGGCUGUGCAGAGCCACAUCCAGCCUGGCCUUGAAUGUCUCCUGGGCUGGGGCAACCCACAACCUCUGGGCAACCUAUUUCACUGAAGAAGUUUCUCCUUGAAAGUAUUUGGUGAAUUCUUGGAUAAAUGAUGGAACAUCCACCAAACACACAGUGCUCAUGCCUUACCCAUCCACCUCUUGUCCACAGCUCUGCAAAGAGUGAGGGAUGCAAGCUCAGGUUACCCUUGCACUCAGGCAUCUUUUGAGGGAAUGGGAGGGGAAAAAAAAGCAGUCAGCCUGCCCUGCAGAACAAAAUUCACAACAAAAGGAUCUGUUUAAAGCUGUCUUCUGAUGUCACUCAAUUCCUUUCAUGAAGUCAUCUCUUGGUGCCUGUUGCUAUAACAGCAUAUUAUCUUUUUUCACUAUUACUCAUGCAACACAAAUGCCUACAGGCACGUCACUAUUGUGAAGUUCACCUAUAAAAUGUUCAUUUAAAAUUCUCUCUUACAUGCAGUGUCUUGCUGGGAUGAAGCACAUUGAUUUACAGAAACAUUAUUUUUGAAGAAAAGCCAGCUCCAAUUCAUCCUAAGCAGUCUGAGUGAAAAAAUAAGUAAAUCAGAGAAAAGAGCAUUCUUUGAGUGAACAAGCAUUUUCUGUGAAUGCUUUUCUCUUUUUUUUUCAGUAUUUCUGAAAGUGUUUUCAAGAGCUCACAUUAUCUAGUUGUUUUCUGCCUUUUAUGUUUCAUUCUGUACAGGGGGUUGCAAACAAAGCAGCUUCAGCUGUUGUCGUCAGUCCUGUGGCUUUCUGUGUUUGUAUGUAUUUAGGAAUGGUGAUAAACAGAGCAAGUGCCUUAAGGGUCAGAGUUUAUCAUUUUUUCUGGACAUUAUUGAGCUCAUGUCAAACAUCGGCCUCUUUGGUAACACCAAAGUAGGAAAGAUGCCAAUACAACAGGCCAUGUCAUGGAUGGGAAAUUUGUUUCAGCAGUGCUUAAUAUGCCAUUAAUGAGUGAAGACCACGAGGCUCUGAUCUGGGGGCCAGAACUAGAUGGGGUUGUCCUGGACUUGGUAGCUUUUAGAUACAGUGCAGAGGGAGGUAUAGCUGUGCCACCAGUUGGGGUAUACCUUUAGUUGAUUCAAUAAAUAUUGUCUGUGUGUCAGAAGUCUGAAGGAUAUACACUACAAAAUAACCACAUUCAUGAAAUAAUAGGCACAAGCUUUCAGACAGCUCAUUUAAUUUUACUUUUCUGUAAAAAGGAGCUGUGCAGUCCUGGUAAUGGGUCAUCAUGAGUCUCAAUGAAUACAGGUCCGUAU